rnacentral:rRNA from 1 species
AACCUCCGCAAUGUGAGAAAUCGCGACGGGGGGAUCCCAAGUGCCAUUCUUAACGGGAUGGCUUUUCAUUAGUGUAAAGAGCUUUUGGAAUAAGAGCUGGGCAAGACCGGUGCCAGCCGCCGCGGUAACACCGGCAGCUCUAGUGGUAACAAUUUUUAUUGGGCCUAAAGCGUCCGUAGCCGGUUUAAUAAGUCUCUGGUGAAAUCCUGUAGCUUAACUGUGGGAAUUGCUGGAGAUACUAUUAGACUUGAGACCGGGAGAGGUUAGAGGUACUCCCAGGGUAGAGGUGAAAUUCUGUAAUCCUGGGAGGACCGCCUGUUGCGAAGGCGUCUAACUGGAACGGUUCUGACGGUGAGGGACGAAAGUUAGGGGCGCGAACCGGAUUAGAUACCCGGGUAGUCCUAACUGUAAACGAUGCGGACUUGGUGUUGGGGUGGCUUUGAGCUGCUUCAGUGCCGAAGGAAGCUGUUAAGUCCGCCGCCUGGGAAGUCGGUCGCAAGACUGAAACUUAAAGGAAUU